UUAAUUUGUCAAUUCAUUCACUUAAUUCGUCAGUUCACAAAGUUCAUUGUUGUAGGGAGUGAAACUCAGAAUGUGCAAUGUUUUGAGUAGAUGGUCUAUUUAAAAGAAGCUUCUUCCUUUCCUUCUGAGGACCUGGUCAUGCCCUAUGAUUCUGCAUUAAACAAGAGGAAUUGUAUUUUCAGUGUCCCUCAAAUUAAAAUUCACAUAUUCAGGGAGUAUUGUUUGAGUGUUUGAGGUGAGAGCAGGCAGUAGGAGUUCUAAUACAAGUCUUGCUGCUUCUUUGGUUAUAAAAACAGAUUUCCACAGCUCAGCUUAUGCAAAGGACCUUACCUAUAUUAUUUUCCUUUGGGUGCUUGUAAUUUACCAGUCAGCUGUUAGACAACAGAACAGUGAGGAUCAUUCAUUUCUUCAAAAGCAGCUUAGUUGAACUAGCACUACAUGUCUUGCAUCAUGUUUUUAAAUUCGGAAGUGUUUCAGGAUAUAAAAGGUCCUUUUCCUUUGAGUUCUUGUCCACAAGAUUCCCAUCACAUUUAAUGAGAUCAUACAUGUCUACCUCUUACUUGCAAAAUGGAAAUUUCUGAACAUUAUGGAAAUUUGGUUUUGAUUGCUGAGACCAAAACCGAAAUGCUAAAACUGAGAAUUAGGUAAUCUAUAAAGAAUGAGCACUUGAACUGUGCAGGGAAGGCUCUAAAGUGUUUAAAAUUUCAGCUUUACUGAACUUUCUCAUGGGGGAUGUUUUGUAAUAGUAUUAAUUUGCAUUUUGUCACUUUUAAGUUCAGCUUGUAUGGUGGUAAAAAUGAGCUUUCAGUUGUUUAUGGCACAUUCUGUUGCUUUCCAGACAAAACAAUGGUGGCAAUCAUUCCUAUUAACAGCAGGAGUCUGAAAAUUGUGCAGUGUAGGUAACACUUGUGGAAUGUGUGUAUGCUGGAUACUAUUGAAAUUUGCUUCUAUGCAAGUGUUGGAAAGAGGAGUUUGGGGAGGGGAAGUAUACAUUGCAUAUGUGCCCUCAUAUUCCUGAAUGGUUAAGAAUGGGAGAGGAAGAAAUAUCUUUAUGCUUAAACAGCAAAAUGCAAAGGGAAGUAAUGUUCUGUUUAUGCAAACCAACAGUGGAUUACUUGGCUUAAACUUGCUUAAAAUAGGACUCUGAGACUGUUCCUUUCUGCAUAAACCAUUAUAUGCUGGCCUUUGCUUAUAGUCAAAUUAGUAACUUUCCAUUUUGAGGUUGAGCUGUCUUCUGUGCUCUCCUGGAACUGCUAAUUCAAAUUGUAGUGUAGAUA